rnacentral:rRNA from 1 species
UACGAAGGGGGCUAGCGUUGCUCGGAAUCACUGGGCGUAAAGCGCACGUAGGCGGCUUUCUAAGUCAGGGGUGAAAUCCUGGAGCUCAACUCCAGAACUGCCUUUGAUACUGGGAAGCUCGAGUCCGGAAGAGGUGAGUGGAACUGCGAGUGUAGAGGUGAAAUUCGUAGAUAUUCGCAAGAACACCAGUGGCGAAGGCGGCUCACUGGCUCGGUACUGACGCUGAGGUGCGAAAGCGUGGGGAGCAAACAGG